rnacentral:rRNA from 1 species
UAGGGAAUCUUCGGCAAUGGACGAAAGUCUGACCGAGCAACGCCGCGUGAGUGAAGAAGGUUUUCGGAUCGUAAAACUCUGUUGUUAGAGAAGAACAAGGACGUUAGUAACUGAACGUCCCCUGACGGUAUCUAACCAGAAAGCGACGGCUAACUACGUGCCAGCAGCCGCGGUAAUACGUAGGUGGCAAGCGUUGUCCGGAUUUAUUGGGCGUAAAGCGAGCGCAGGCGGUUUCUUAAGUCUGAUGUGAAAGCCCCCGGCUCAACCGGGGAGGGUCAUUGGAAACUGGGAGACUUGAGUGCAGAAGAGGAGAGUGGAAUUCCAUGUGUAGCGGUGAAAUGCGUAGAUAUAUGGAGGAACACCAGUGGCGAAGGCGGCUCUCUGGUCUGUAACUGACGCUGAGGCUCGAAAGCGUGGGGAGCAAACAGG